UGGGGAAUAUUGGACAAUGGGCGAAAGCCUGAUCCAGCCAUGCCGCGUGUGUGAAGAAGGUCCUCGGACUGUAAAGCACUUUAAGUUGGGAGGAAGGGCAGUAAGCGAAUACCUUGCUGUUUUGACGUUACCGACAGAAUAAGCACCGGCUAACUCUGUGCCAGCAGUCGCGGUAAUACAGAGGGUGCAAGCGUUAAUCGGAAUUACUGGGCGUAAAGCGCGCGUAGGUGGUUCGUUAAGUUGAAUGUGAAAGCCCCGGGCUCAACCUGAGAACUGCAUCCAAAACUGGCGGGCUAGAGUAGGGCAGAGGGUGGUGGAAUUUCCUGUGUAGCGGUGAAAUGCGUAGAUAUAGGAAGGAGCACAAGUGGCGAAGGCGACCACCUGGGCUCAUACUGACACUGAGGUGCGAAAGCGUGGGGUGCAAACAGG
rnacentral:rRNA from 1 species